UUCCUGGUGGCUCAGAUGGUAAAGCGUCUGCCUACAAUGCAGGAGACCCGGGUUUGAUCCCUGGGUUGGGAA
rnacentral:tRNA from 1 species